GCCCACAUAGCUCAGCCGGUAGAGCAAUGCUUUCGUAAAGCAGAGGUCGUCGGUUCGAUUCCGACUGUGGGCU
rnacentral:tRNA from 4 species